rnacentral:rRNA from 1 species
GUGGGGAAUAUUGGACAAUGGGCGAAAGCCUGAUCCAGCCAUGCCGCGUGUGUGAAGAAGGUCUUCGGAUUGUAAAGCACUUUAAGUUGGGAGGAAGGGCAGUAAGUUAAUACCUUGCUGUUUUGACGUUACCGACAGAAUAAGCACCUGCUAACUUCGUGCCAGCAGCCGCGGUAAUACGAAGGGUGCAAGCGUUAAUCGGAAUUACUGGGCGUAAAGCGCGCGUAGGUGGUUUUGUAAGUUGGAGAUGAAAUCCCCGGGCUCAACCUGGGAACUGCCUACAAAACUGCAUGACUAGAGUACGGUAGAGGGUAGUGGAAUUUCCUGUGUAGCGGUGAAAUGCGUAGAUAUAGGAAGGAACACCAGUGGCGAAGGCGACUACCUGGACUGAUACUGACACUGAGGUGCGAAAGCGUGGGGAGCAAACAGGAUUAGAAACCCCGGUAGUCC